GGGAGCGAGCGUCCUCCCAACGGCGUCCUGUUUCGCCGUUCUUGUCCUCAGUCUGAUUUCUCUCUCCUCUCCCCGGCCGAAUUUCGGCGCCCCGUUACACGUCCUCCAGGGGGAGGUUGGAGCCGACGGGCAGCCGGCGGCUGUGGGCUGUGCGGGGCUCUCGUGGCGGUGAUGCUGCAGUAACGUGUCCUCCGUGCUCCCUUCGCUGAGAUGUGCCGUGUGUGUCUGUGGCCGUGCUGAGGCUGCACGAAAGAUAUCGCGAUGGCACCGAGUCCUCUGAGAUGCGCUACGGAAAUGAUGAGAACGACUUCUGAGGCUGUGAGCGGUGGCUGAUGAGAGAAGCUAAAGAGAGGAACCUCAAAAUUGAACAGAUUGAUAUGGAAUGAAGGGGCAUUUCAUAGCAAAUGGAUGAAGAGAAGAGACCUCCAUCCUG